GACGGGGGGGGCAAGUGUUCUUCGGAAUGACUGGGCGUCAAGGGCACGUAGGCGGUGAAUCGGGUUGAAAGUGAAAGUCGCCAAAAAGUGGCGGAAUGCUCUCGAAACCAAUUCACUUGAGUAAGACAGAGGAGAGUGGAAUUUCGUGUGUAGGGGUGAAAUCCGUAGAUCUACGAAGGAACGCCAAAAGCGAAGGCAGCUCUCUGGGUCCCUACCGACGCUGGGGUGCGAAAGCAUGGGGAGCGAACAGG
rnacentral:rRNA from 1 species